GUGAGCGUAGCUCAGCUGGAUAGAGCACUAGGCUGUGGCCCUGGUGGUCGCGGGUUCGAAUCCCGUCGCUCACC
rnacentral:tRNA from 1 species